rnacentral:rRNA from 1 species
AACGAACGCUGGCGGCAGGCUUAACACAUGCAAGUCGAGCGCCCCGCAAGGGGAGCGGCAGACGGGUGAGUAACGCGUGGGAACCUACCCUUUUCUACGGAAUAACGCAUGGAAACGUGUGCUAAUACCGUAUACGCCCUACGGGGGAAAGAUUUAUCGGAGAAGGCAGGGCCCGCGUUGGAUUAGCUAGUUGGUGGGGUAAAGGCCUACCAAGGCGACGAUCCAUAGCUGGUCUGAGAGGAUGAUCAGCCACAUUGGGACUGAGACACGGCCCAAACUCCUACGGGAGGCAGCAGUGGGGAAUAUUGGACAAUGGGCGCAAGCCUGAUCCAGCCAUGCCGCGUGAGUGAUGAAGGCCCUAGGGUUGUAAAGCUCUUUCACCGGAGAAGAUAAUGACGGUAUCCGGAGAAGAAGCCCCGGCUAACUUCGUGCCAGCAGCCGCCGUAA